UGCCUGUCCUCCCGCAGGACAACCAGACAGGAAGGAGAGUCUCUGCCCGCCAGAGGAGGCCUGCAGUCUGCAGACAGUGUCCCUGCUGCAGGGACGACCAGGUGCCACAUACAAAGCGCAGGCGCCCUGCUGCUUCUGCAGACCUUCCCCAGAAAAGGAAGCAGACCUCCGCUGCUCUUCCUCCUAAACCUGCUGACCUGCCACCUGUCUCUAAUGUGGCCCCCAGCCCCCGGACCUCCACUGCUCCUCUGCACCUCGACAACCCUAUCAGGAUCCACAACCGCUCAGUCGAGGAGUACCAGCUCAUCUACCAUGAAGUUGUGGAUAACAUGCUGAGGUUCCCGAACGGUCUCCUGCGUCCAUAUAGUUUGGGUCUGGGUCGUCGUAUCAAGCAGAAGCUGUGGGAGCGACUGGACCGUCCGAUGUUCACAGAGACAGUGGAUGAAGACGGUCUGGUCCAUGUGGACGUGUCCUACGGUGCUGGAGUCCAGCCUCCGCUCUUCAACGUGGAUGUUUCUGGUGAACCAGAGCCCGAAUAUCCACCAGCAAAAAGGGCAAAGCACUAAGACACACUCUCAUAAGCUGACAUGUCUAAAUAACACUGUGCUUUAAAUUUAGUUUAGUUUUUUUAAGUUUCAUUUGAGUAGUUUUAAGUUUUAAGUAUGGCAGUUAAGUUUAAGUUUAUUAAGUGUAGAGUUAAGUCUUUAGUGCCAAGCAUAAGUAUUAAGUGUUAAGUCUUUAGUUUUAAGUAUUUAGUCAUAAGUAUAACUAUAAAGUGUUAAGAGUAAGUGUUUAGUUUAAGUUUUUAGUUAAAGUAUUUUGUUUGAAGUAUUUAGUAUUAAGUGUACGUUUUUACUGCUAAGUAUAAGUAUUAAGUGUUUAGUUUAAGUAUUUAGUAAUAAGUUUAAGAAUGUAGUGUUAAGAAUAAGUAUUUAGUGUUAAGAGUUAGUAUUUAGUUUGAGAUAAGUUUACUUUCAUUGAUCUUAAUGUAUCUCACCACUGAUGAAUUGUCUUCCUCUGAAUCAGUUCAUGCUCCUCUGUUAACAGUCUUCUCAAUCAGCUUCAGCCUCAACAGCAACAGUUAUCACCUGCCAGAACACCUGCUCCACCCUCCAGCCUCCACCUGUUACUUCUACCAGACAAAACAUCAGCCUUGCUCUGCAGCCUGUGAGAUGACAGACUCCUCUCCACCUGCAGCCUCUGUCAGCAACCUGCAGCCAUCUCCUCCAACUGCACAUUCUGUUGAAUAGCUGACGGCUGAACCUCCAUCUACAGCCUUUGCCAGUGCACCUGUGCCUACACCUCUCGAAGUGAACUGCUAUCCGAGCCUCCACCUACAGCCUCUAUAAGGAAACCUGCACAGAUGUUAUCCUACUGCCAUUUGGAGACCUGAGUGGAACAGCAAGGACCAGAGAAACACACGCAGAUAUAGUCCUUCAGUUAAUAUGCAAAAAUAUUUCUGUGUUAUUAAAGCUGGCUUUCUGUUUACAUUCUGUUCACUUGUUCUUCUUCUCACAGGUGUUUUCAAACGUUGUGUGAAAGACUGAGCACACACUCCUCAACAUGAACCUGACUGACUGUGAUGAUGCCUUCAUGAAACGAGAGAGUUCCUCUUCCUCCCAAGUUGUCUACCAGGAGCUGAUUCAGGCCCCUGAGGACAACUCCUUCUACAACAGCUCUGUUCCAGAGAUGCUUCCUCCUCCUCCUCCUCCAAAUCCUCCACCUUCACCACCCCUCCUGCUCAUCGCCAGAACUAAGAGUGCCCCACCCCAUCUCAGCAACCACCACCAGUUUCUCCUGCAGCCACCGCCUCCACCUGCAGAUUCUGACAGCCACUGCUGACAGCCAAAUCUCCUCCUACAGCCUCUGCCAGUGCACCUGCGUCUACACCUCUUGAAGUCAACUGCAGCCGAACCUCCACCCACAGCCUCUGUCAGCAACCUGCAGCUGUCACCUCCACCUGCAGAUUUUUACAGAUCGCUACUGCUCAACCUCCACUGACAACUUUUGUCAGCAACCUGAACCAGCACCUACACCUCUCGUACACUACUGCCAUCCAAACCUCCACCUGUAACCUUUGCCAGCCGCCUGCAGACACCUCCUCCACCUGACGAUUCCCACAGAAAGCUGGGGUCAAACCUCCACCUUCAGCCUCUAUAAGGAAACCUGCACAGAUGUUAUCCUACUGCCAUGGUUGGAUCUAAGUGGAACAGCAACGACCAGAGAAACACUGGUGUUUUCAAACGUUGUGUGAAAGACUGAGCACACACUCCUCAACAUGAACCUGACUGAUUGUGAUGAUGCCUUCAUGAAACAGAAAGAGCUCCUCUUCCUCCCACCUGCCUUGUUGGACUUCCAGAUCCAGAGAUGCUUCCUCCUCCUCCCUAUCGUGCACGUUCACCACCCCUCCUGCUCAUCGCCAGAACUAAAAAUGCCCCUCCCCAUCUCUGCAACCACCAGCACUUUCUACGCAAGCCGAUUCAUUGAAGUCCAAAGAUUGCAGAGACGCUCCACCCGAGACUUCAGUGCCUUACUUUUCCAACAACGCCCCCUAAAACGACGUCCAAUGUGCUCUUUUACUGUGUACUUUAAGCCUCUGCACUGUUUUACAAUAAAUGUUUCAUUAUCUGCAUCAAUCAGAUCAUGUGUCUCUAACUAUCUAACAAGUCCUUUUAUCUGCAUUUAUAAUUGUUAGUAAAUCCUUAAUAAACGGUUUUGAGUUA